UUGUAGCCAGUUAAGGCAACAAGGUUCCUUUCCUCAUGGGGGCCCAGUGUGCAAGUAGCAGUCCCCUUGGGAGCAUGCGCAGCCUGCUGCUUGUAUGCAUUACUCUAAGGGCCCCUGGAGACAGAA
rnacentral:snoRNA from 1 species